rnacentral:rRNA from 1 species
CGACCGGCGCACGGGUGAGUAACGCGUAUCCAACCUGCCUUACACUCUUGGACAGCCUUCUGAAAGGGAGAUUAAUACAAGAUGUUAUCAUGAGUAAGCAUUUUCACAUGAUUAAAGGUUUACCGGUGUAAGAUGGGGAUGCGUUCCAUUAGAUAGUAGGCGGGGUAACGGCCCACCUAGUCUUCGAUGGAUAGGGGUUCUGAGAGGAAGGUCCCCCACAUUGGAACUGAGACACAGUCCAA